UAGCCCGGGUGAAGGGCGCCAGCGUCUCCUGCCCACUUCAUCAAGGCUGGAGGUGGUGGAAGACAGUCGUGGAUUCCGGCCUGUUCUGGACGGUUCCAACUUGGCUUCGCUUCGCUCUGCUCUGAGCUGCGUGACCUGCGGACUAGGAGCUGCAGCGCUGGACAGGAGGACGCCAGCCUCAAGACGUUGCCUGAGAUACAAGCCACUGUAGGAUCUAAUCAACACAUCGACAACUCAGAGAUGCAAAACUAGAUUCUUCAGAGGGGAACUUUGACCAUCCUGCAACAAAAACAGAUCCGGAGUCAAACUAUGAACCCAGAAAUCCAACCUUUGUCUACUGACAUGCCUGUGAACUAGCACCUAAGCUAGUGGUAUAUUUCCUGUCUGCAAUGUGAAGACAAACUAUCCAGUUGAUAGGUUUGUUGUGUGGAUUAAAUGCACCUAUAUCACAGUGCCAAUGAUCUUUUUAUCAACUUUAUAACACGGAUCCUUCUAUACUUAACAAUACUCACUUAAUGCUGUUGAAUAAAUGAGUGAAAGCCUAUGGGUAUUUAUGCAAUA